rnacentral:rRNA from 1 species
UACGGAGGGGGGCGAGCGUUGUUCGGAAUUAUUGGGCGUAAAGAGCUCGUAGGCGGCCUGUUGCGUCCGCUGUGAAAGCCCCGGGGCUUAACCCCGGGUCUGCAGUGGAUACGGGCAGGCUAGAGGUAGGUAGGGGAGAAUGGAAUUCCCGGUGUAGCGGGUGAAAUGCGGCAGAGUAUCGGGAGGAACACCGGUGGCGAAGGCGGGUUCUCUGGGC